rnacentral:rRNA from 1 species
AUUGAACGCUGGCGGCAUGCUUUACACAUGCAAGUCGAACGGCAGCACGGGGGCAACCCUGGUGGCGAGUGGCGAACGGGUGAGUAACACAUCGGAACGUGUCCUUUGGUGGGGGAUAACCAGUCGAAAGACUGGCUAAUACCGCAUAAGCUCGCAAGAGGAAAGCAGGGGACCUGCAAGGGCCUUGCGCGAUUGGAGCGGCCGAUGUCCGAUUAGCUAGUUGGAGGGUAAAGGCCUACCAAGGCGACGAUCGGUAGCUGGUCUGAGAGGAUGAUCAGCCACACUGGGACUGAGACACGGCCCAGACUCCUACGGGAGGCAGCA